rnacentral:rRNA from 1 species
AUACGGAGGGUGCAAGCGUUAAUCGGAAUUACUGGGCGUAAAGGGUACGUAGGCGGUUAUUUAAGUUGGAUGUGAAAUCCCUGGGCUCAACCUAGGAACUGCAUCCAAAACUGAAUAACUAGAGUGUAUAAGAGGUUAUCGGAAUUCCAGGUGUAGCAGUGAAAUGCGUAGAUAUCUGGAGGAACAUCAGUGGCGAAGGCGGCUAACUGGUAUAACACUGACGCUGAGGUACGAAAGCGUGGGGAGCGAACGGGAUUAGAAACCCCAGUAGUCC